rnacentral:rRNA from 1 species
UACGAAGGGGGCUAGCGUUGCUCGGAAUUACUGGGCGUAAAGGGCGCGUAGGCGGCACUGUUAGUCAGGCGUGAAAGUCCUGGGCUCAACCUGGGAACUGCGCUUGAUACGGCAGAGCUAGAGGAUGGAAGAGGCUCGCGGAAUUCCCAGUGUAGAGGUGAAAUUCGUAGAUAUUGGGAAGAACACCGGUGGCGAAGGCGGCGAGCUGGUCCAUUACUGACGCUGAGACGCGAAAGCGUGGGGAGCGAACAGG